UACAGACGGUCCAAACGUUAUUCGGAAUCACUGGGCUUAAAGAGUUCGUAGGCGGUCAGGAAAGUGGGGUGUGAAAGCCCUCGGCUUAACCGAGGAAUUGCGCUCCAAACUCCCUGACUUGAGGAGGCUAGAGGUAAGCGGAACUGAUGGUGGAGCGGUGAAAUGCGUUGAAUAUCGAUCAGGAACACCGGAGGCGAAAGCGGCGCACUGGAUCUCUUCUGACGCUGAGGCGCGAAAGCUAGGGGAGCAAAACGGG
rnacentral:rRNA from 1 species